rnacentral:rRNA from 1 species
UACGUAGGGGGCAAGCGUUGUCCGGAAUCAUUGGCGUAAAGCGCGCGUAGGUGGCCAAGUAAGUCCGCUGUGAAAGUCAAAGGCUCAACCUUUGAAAGCCGGUGGAUACUGCAUGGCUAGAGUACGGAAGAGGCGAGUGGAAUUCCUGGUGUAGCGGUGGAAUGCGCAGAUAUCAGGAGGAACACCAAUAGCGAAGGCAGCUCGCUGGGACGUUACUGACACUGAGGCGCGAAAGCGUGGGGAGCGAACAGG